AAUGAACGUUGGCGGCGUGGAUUAGGCAUGCAAGUCGAGGGAGAACCCGCAAGGGGGACACCGGCGAACGGGGUAGGAAUACGUAGGUAACGUACCCUCAGGACGGGGAUAGCCACGGGAAACUGUGGGUAAUACCCGAUGAUCUGGUCUGGCUCAAUUGUCGGAUCAGCAAAGGUGAGAUUCCACCUGAGGAGCGGCUUACGCGAUAUUAGCUAGUUGGCGAGGUAACGGCUCACCAAGGCGACGAUAUCUAGGGGGUGUGAGAGCAUGGCCCCCACCACUGGGACUGAGAUACUGCCCAGACACCUACGGGUGGCUGCAGUCGAGAAUCUUCGGCAAUGGGCGAAAGCCUGACCGAGCGACGCCGCGUGCGGGAUGAAGGUCUUCGGAUUGUAAACCGCUGUCGGGAGGGAUGAAGUGCACGGGGGCAAUCCCCUGUGUUUGACAGAGCUCCGGAGGAAGCACGGGCUAAGUUCGUGCCAGCAGCCGCGGUAAAAC
rnacentral:rRNA from 1 species